UGAAUACGAGAUGCUACGGCGUCGAAGCAGUCUAUGUCAUACUUCCAAGAAAAGCUUGCACUGUCAUAAACAAAUAAUGCCUGUACCAUAACCGACACAGGUGGGUAGGUAGAGUAUACUAAGGGGCGCGAGAUAACUCUCUCUAAGGAACUCGGCAAAAUGACUCCGUAACUUCGGGAGAAGGAGUGCCUUAUUUAUAAGGUUGCAAUAACAAGAUCCAAGCAACUGUUUACCAAAAACACAGGUCUCCGCUAAGUCGUAAGACGAUGUAUGGGGGCUGACGCCUGCCCAGUGCCAGAAGGUUAAAGAAGUUGGUUAGCAUCCGCGAAGCUGAUAACUGAAGCCCUGGUGAACGGCGGCCGUAACAAUAACGGUCCUAAGGUAGCGAAAUUCCUUGUCGGGUAAGUUCCGACCCGCACGAAAGGCGUAAUGAUUUGGAUACUGUCUCGGAGAGGGGCUCGGUGAAAUAGACUUGUCUGUGAAGAUGCGGACUACCUGCACCAGGACAGAAAGACCCUAUGAAGCUUUACUGUAACCUGAAAUUGAAAUUGGACUUUACUUGCGCAGUAUAGGUGGGAGGCGUUGAGAAUAUUCUUGCGGGAUUAUUGGAGCCAUCAGUGAGAUACCACUCUUGUAAUGUUAGAUUUCUAACUUUGUAUCAUUAUCUGGUCAAAGAACAGUUUCAGGCGGGCAGUUUGACUGGGGCGGUCGCCUCCUAAACGGUAACGGAGGCGCACAAAGGUUUCCUCUGAACGGGUAGAAAUCGUAUCUAGAGUGUAAAGGCAUAAGGAAGCUUGACUGUGAGACCUACAAGUCGAGCAGGGACGAAAGUCGGUCUUAGUGAUCUGACGGUGCUGAGUGGAAAGGCCGUCACUCAACGGAUAAAAGUUACUCUAGGAUAACAGGCUGAUCUCCCCCAAGAGUUCACAUCGACGGGGAGGUUUGGCACCUCGAUGUCGGCUCAUCGCAUCCUGGGGCGGUAGUACGUCCCAAGGGUUGGGCUGUUCGCCCAUGAAAGCGGUACGCGAGCUGGGUUCAGAACGUCGUGAGACAGUUCGGUCCAUAUCCGGUGUAGGCGUUAGAAUAUUGAGAGGAGCCUUCUUUAGUACGAGAGGACCGAGAAGGACAUACCUCUGGUGUACCAGUUAUCGUGCCAACGGUAAACGCUGGGUAGCUAUGUGUGGAGUGGAUAACCGCUGAAAGCAUCUAAGUGGGAAGCCCACCUCAAGAUAAG
rnacentral:rRNA from 1 species